UUAGCCUUGACUCUUCCGUGUAUGGGAAAGCCGCAUGACGAUUGACAGAAUAAAAAGAAUGUUACAAAAAUAGUGGGCAAACUAGCCCAGAUCUUGAAGAAAUUAAAGCGCGCGCGAGCGAGUCCAGGCGCCGCAGCCGCCUUGUCGCACAGAUAUCAAUCAAAACAAGAAAAUAUUAUAACACGCCGAGCGCAGCACUGUUUAGACAUCACUCCACACCAGACACAACACUGCCAGAAUAUUCUAGAAGGUGAUGCUUGCCAGCUGAGACGAGAUGACAAACAACAGCGCGAACAGAUAAAGCGCCAUGACCGACAACCGAAAGGCAAAGAGAAACAUGCAAGAGAAAACCUAAUGUAACCCAGUGAAACUUUCCUGCAUGAGAGCGACGUCCCAACCGCCCUGUCUGUAGAGGAACGGGCAACACCGCCAUGCAACGGUCAUGCAUGCACACUUUCUGCAUCUGCCCACCAGCACCUAUCACGUCCAGUCAUGGCUGUAAGGAAUGAGAGUUUACUCGAUAAUCGGUUGUCGUCAUGAGCGGGAGGGCAGUGAGAAUAAAGAGAAUAUGAUAUAUAAUUGUGGAUAGUGGUGGAGCAAGCAACACGGCGGACAGCGGGCCCCGGCAAGCAUCAUGCACCGCGUACGCCGACGACAAAACUGAGAAUAUAUCUCUUUUCAAACUGCUUUUGCAAGACUGUCCCCUCGGCGCGCUUUUGCCUCCCUGCUUGCGGCCGUGAUCGCCUCGUGAGCAGCGGAGGCCCUCGGAGCCGCUGCCUCGCCCCGGACCGCCCAAAUCGCCUCCAAGUCUCCGCGGGUUGCCAUGUUGUCUGUGUCAUGCACCCGACCUGGCCGUCCGUCUCGCCUCGACAGGAACGAGUCAUUUGACUUUGUGCCAGUCACUGCUCCUCUCCGUGCCCGCUUGGAUAAAAAAAAAAGAUACGUCCGUCGUCAUCGUCUUUGUGUCGCCAUCUUGAAAAAGUUGUCAUCUCUUACCUGGAAUCGGAAGAAAAAUUACGUUAGAUAAAAACAGGACAAGGUGAGAUAA